rnacentral:rRNA from 1 species
AUUGAACGCUGGCGGCAUGCCUUACACAUGCAAGUCGAACGGCAGCGGACCUUCGAGUGCCGGCGAGUGGCGAACGGGUGAGUAAUAUAUCGGAACGUGCCUUUCAGUGGGGGAUAACGUAGCGAAAGUUACGCUAAUACCGCAUAUUCUCUGAGGAGGAAAGCAGGGGACCUUCGGGCCUUGCGCUGAUAGAGCGGCCGAUAUCAGAUUAGCUAGUUGGUGGGGUAAAGGCCUACCAAGGCGACGAUCUGUAGCGGGUCUGAGAGGAUGAUCCGCCACACUGGGACUGAGACACGGCCCAGACUCCUACGGGAGGCAGCAGUGGGGAAUUUUGGACAAUGGGCGAAAGCCUGAUCCAGCCAUGCCGCGUGAGUGAAGAAGGCCUUCGGGUUGUAAAGCUCUUUCGGCCGGGAAGAAAUCGCACAGGCUAAUACCUUGUGUGGAUGACGGUACCGGAAUAAGAAGCACCGGCUAACUACGUGCCAGCCGCCGCAGUAAAAC